CCAGAGAGUCUCCAAACCUAGCUCCAUUCAGUCCUUCCUCUCCGCCGCCACUCCUUUCUUUCCCUCGUUGUUCGCUCUCUUCUUCGUACAUCCGAGAGAAAAACAGCCAUGGUUCAUUUCCGUCCUCGACCACGUCCGCAAGUCACAGCCGGUCUCCGUAUCAUCCGUGCGCCAUUCGCGCCUCCACCUCGCUCACGACGCCGCAGAACGCCUCCGUCGCGGACGUCUUCGACGCCGCCUGGAUCUGGUCGCCGACGAGCUCACCUGAGCGGUGAAAUCGGACCACCGUCCCCUCUCCUCCAUCCUCGUCGUCUUCGCGGAGCCGGAGACACCGCAGCUGCUCGCCCUCGUCCACAUCUGCAAUGUCGUCUACCCCGGCCACUUUUCUUCUUCAACGCCAGCAGCUCCACCUGCCCCUCCUUCUCGUCACCGACCACCCCAGGCAUUUGCUUCUUCCCGGAUAGGAUCACGAAGUGGUGUUGUGAGAUACGACAAGUUCUUCUGCAGCUUUUCACAGGCGAGC